rnacentral:rRNA from 1 species
GGGUGAGUAAUAUAUCGGAACGUGCCCGGUCGGUGGGGGAGUAACGUAGCGAAAGCUACGCUAAUACCGCAUACGAUCUACGGAUGAAAGCGGGGGAUCGCAAGACCUCGCGCGAUUGGAGCGGCCGAUAUCAGAUUAGGUAGUUGGUGAGGUAAAGGCUCACCAAGCCGACGAUCUGUAGCUGGUCUGAGAGGACGACCAGCCACACUGGGACUGAGACACGGCCCAGACUCCUACGGGAGGCAGCAGUGGGGAAUUUUGGACAAUGGGCGCAAGCCUGAUCCAGCAAUGCCGCGUGCAGGAUGAAGGCCUUCGGGUUGUAAACUGCUUUGUACGGAACGAAACGGUGAGCUCUAAUACAGUUUGCUAAUGACGGUACCGUAAGAAUAAGCACCGGCUAACUACGUG